rnacentral:lncRNA from 1 species
UUUUUUGGUUCCACUUUCAUGCAUUUUAACAAGUAGUUUAACAUAUUUAAACUAUAUACACCCUUAUCACUCUAAGAUCCUUCCAUAAUCUUUCAUUAAAACAACAUCCACCAAUAAAACAAUUCCAAACAAACUAGAAAGCUUUUAAAAGAAAGAAAAUGAAAAAGUUGAUAUAGUUAGGGUGCUUACUAGAUGCUCAAGAUCAAAGAUUUCUUCUCCUUCUUUUCUUUUAGUUCCACCGAAUCCAAGCUCUCUCACUCUUUCUCUCUUACUUUCCUUUUCUCUCUUU